rnacentral:rRNA from 1 species
CAGUAGCCGCGGUAAUACGUAGGUGGCAAGCGUUGUCCGGAAUUAUUGGGCGUAAAGGGCUCGCAGGCGGUUUCUUAAGUCUGAUGUGAAAGCCCCCGGCUCAACCGGGGAGGGUCAUUGGAAACUGGGAAACUUGAGUGCAGAAGAGGAGAGUGGAAUUCCACGUGUAGCGGUGAAAUGCAUAGAGAUGUGGAGGAACACCAGUGGCGAAGGCGACUCUCUGGUCUGUAACUGACGCUGAGGAGCGAAAGCGUGGGGAGCGAACAGGAUUAGAUACCCGCGUAGUCCCUGUCUCUUAUAC